GACGAACGCUGGCGGCGUGCUUAACACAUGCAAGUCGAACGGAAAGGCCCUUCGGGGUACUCGAGUGGCGAACGGGUGAGUAACACGUGGGUGAUCUGCCCUGCACUUUGGGAUAAGCCUGGGGAACUGGGUCUAAUACCGAAUAUGAUCAUCGGCUUCAUGGUCGGUGGUGGAAAGCUUUUGCGGUGUGGGAUGGGCCCGCGGCCUAUCAGCUUGUUGGUGGGGUAAUGGCCUACCAAGGCGACGACGGGUAGCCGGCCUGAGAGGGUGACCGGCCACACUGGGACUGAGAUACGGCCCAGACUCCUACGGGAGGCAGCAGUGGGGAAUAUUGCACAAUGGGCGCAAGCCUGAUGCAGCGACGCCGCGUGAGGGAUGACGGCCUUCGGGUUGUAAACCUCUUUCAGCACAGACGAAGCGCAAGUGACGGUAUGUGCAGAAGAAGGACCGGCCAACUACGUG
rnacentral:rRNA from 1 species